UCUCUUGUUUUUCCAACAUCCAUUACACAUAAAAUGAAAAACUUAGAAAUGAAACCAUAAACACAAACACAUUCUCUCCUUUUCACCUCACCUUUCAUGUAUUUUUCUACAUAAACACAAACACAUUCUCUCCUUCUCACCUCAUCUUUCAUGUAUUUUUCAACUUGCUCACCGUUAAAAAAGAAAAGAGUGUACGGUAUUUUGAGACAUUACAUACAAAGGUGGUGGAUAAAUAUAUAUCAAUCUAAUAGAAAGCACACGUCAGAUUUAUUUCUGCAAGAUAUUUACAAUAAUCUUAUUCAAACUGACUCGUAAAUCGUUGUUAAGGGAGAUAUGACUACGUAUGAUUGGAGAAAGACUGAUCACCUAAAUCCUAUUAGAAGUCAAGGCACUAGGAGAUAUAUUUAAUUAUUUAAUAAAAUCUGAUGAAGAAGAUCAGGACGUUAUGUGUCUGACACAAUUGUCUGGGUGAAGGAGAAUGGUUGUUUAUUAGAAUGUCCAUAUGUGGCAACAUUUAUGCCAGCUACGCGGACAAUGAGGAUAUCGGUCAAAGAAAAAAACAAACUCUUACACAAGUGAUUAGAAUUGGCGGUUACCAGAUAUGGAUAAAUUGGAGGGGAUGGUAUAUACUCUGGUCAACAGAUUUUAAUGUUGAUCAAGAACAAAGACAUGGAGUGAUUAUUGUGGGAUACGGACAACAAAUAGAAAAUAACUGAGGAAUUCUCAUGGAGACAAAUGGGGUGAUCAAUGUUACUUCAAAUUUGAAACAAGACGGUGUCUAGAUUAGAAAAUUUUCUCUUAUUUAUUUCAAAUUUGAUCAAGGUUAUUUCAAAUUUGAAACAAGACGGUGAGCAAGGUUAUUUCAAUUUCUCUUAGUUGAGUGAGUUUGGAUCAUCUCGGGCAUAGAGAAACAAGAGGGUGUCUAGAUUAGAAAACUUAACUUCUCUCUUUUAACCUAGCAUAUAUUCUUCUUUUUCUUUUUUAAGUUAUGCAUCUAUUCGUCUUUUUUUUUUUGUAGCUAAUGCUGUAAUAAUUGGAACUGAAACUUUGUGGCUAAUGCUAUGUUAAUUUGAACUGAAA